GACGUAGGGCGCGAGCGUUGUCCGGAUUUAUUGGGCGUAAAGAGCUCGUAGGCGGUCUGUCGCGUCUGCUGUGAAAACUCGGGGCUUAACCCCGGGCCUGCAGUGGGUACGGGCAGACUAGAGUGCGGUAGGGGAGACUGGAAUUCCUGGUGUAGCGGUGAAAUGCGCAGAUAUCAGGAGGAACACCGGUGGCGAAGGCGGGUCUCUGGGACGGUACUGACGCUGAGACGCGAAAGCGUGGGGAGCAAACAGG
rnacentral:rRNA from 1 species